rnacentral:lncRNA from 1 species
GAAAGUCUCUCCCCAGGGACCAUGACUGAGAGCUCAUUGGCUGUAGCUGGGUCACAUGGCCACAGAAAAAAGAGUCUGGGAAGAUGAGAAUAUUUUUUAGCUGGGCACUUUGCUGUCCUUACAACAGCAAGAUUUUGUUAGGAACGAAGAGGGUAGUGAUAAGCUCCUCACCUCCUGCCUGCCUAAGCUCCAGUUGCAAGGAAGGGAGAUAGAGUGAGAAGAAUAAAAAUAAAGAAGUUGCUCAUCUCUUCAUUUUGCAUGAGGACCUUGAAGUUUGCACAGCAUGGUGACGGUGACACCAAAUGAAAAGAGGACUGAGAACAGACUGUAAGCAAUUCAGCCUGCCAAAAAUUCAGAUUGCUAAAUAAGGGAUACCAAUCAGAUGUUUUCUAUCUUCCCUGGAGAAACUAAGGAACUUCAAGUUUAAAAUGCCUCAUGAAGAAUUGGGAUAAAAUAUAAAGAAUUUCCUGAAGAAAGGGAGGAAGAUGAUUGUGUACUGAAUGAUUGCAAUAGAACAUCUGAAAAUGUAAAAUGAAAAGGAUAACUGAACUUUUCUAUGAAGAGCUUGAUUAUGGCCAUACAUUGAAUUAAUGAGCAUUCAGUGAGUCCACAGUUCUUUGUUGAGGGUCUCCUGCAUGCCAUACACUGUGCUACGUCCUGGGGCUCCAUAAAUUCUUUGUUAACAAAAUAAAAAUACCCCCAUACAGAGAAGCACUUUCAGAUACAUUACCUCAUCUCUAACAGAACACACAGUCAACAGAACCAUGCGGAGGCUGAUCAAUAUUCUAAACAAUAGUUUCAUAAAUACUGUCCCUAGACUCGUCUACUCACUGGGAGCUGCAGGGGUUGGUAUUCUAGCUAGCAAAUGAAACAAUCUGCAUACAUGCUUAAAUCAAGUUUGUUUAAAAUUAGAAAAUGGCAUAAUGUAUUCAAAAGUUUUUAUGCAGUAUUUGCAUGGAAUUUAAAAUAUGCUACAUGCUUUGAAUUAGGAGAGCAGAGCGAUGUGUAGCUCAUCUAUUGGUCUGAUCGAAUGUUUAAAAAUCAAAUUUUAGAGAGCUCUGUACUUAAAUAACUGUAAAAGAAAAUAAAAUCAGAAUGCAUAA